GAACGCUGGCGGCGUGCUUAACACAUGCAAGUCGAACGGAGUUCUGAUGUGUGAAGAGAGAAAGCUUGCUUUUAAUUGGAACUUUUCAGAACUUAGUGGCGGACGGGUGAGUAACGCGUGGGUAACCUGCCUCAUACAGGGGGACAACAGUUGGAAACGACUGCUAAUACCGCAUGAUACUAUUGAGUGGCAUCACUUGAUAGUCAAAGAUUUAUUGCUGAAAGAUGGCCUCGCGUCUGAUUAGCUAGUUGGUGGGGCAACGGCCCACCAAGGCGACGAUCAGUAGCCGGACUGAGAGGUUGACCGGCCACAUUGGGACUGAGAUACGGCCCAGACUCCUACGGGAGGCAGCAGUGGGGAAUAUUGGGCAAUGGGCGAAAGCCUGACCCAGCAACGCCGCGUGAAGGAAGAAGGCUUUCGGGUUGUAAACUUCUUUUACCAGGGACGAAGAACGUGACGGUACCUGGAGAAAAAGCAACGGCUAACUACGUG
rnacentral:rRNA from 1 species